CGGAGGAGCAUGUGGUUUAAUUCGAUGAUACGCGAGGAACCUUACCUGGGCUCGAACGUAAGAUGACUGUAGGUGAAAGCUUACAUCUCUUCGGAGCAUUUUACGAGGUGCUGCAUGGUUGUCGUCAGCUCGUGCCGUGAGGUGUCGGGUUAAGUCCCAUAACGAGCGCAACCCUACCUUUAGUUGCCAUCAGGUUAAGCUGGGGACUCUAAAGGAACUGCCUACGCAAGUAGUGAGGAAGGCGGGGAUGACGUCAAAUCAGCACGGCCCUUACGUCCAGGGCUACACACGUGCUACAAUGGCCGAUACAGAGGGCAGCUACCUGGUGACAGGAUGCAAAUCUCCAAAGUCGGUCUCAGUUCGGAUCGGAGUCUGCAACCCGACUCCGUGAAGUUGGAUUCGCUAGUAAUCGCGCAUCAGCCAUGGCGCGGUGAAUACGUUCCCGGGCCUU
rnacentral:rRNA from 1 species